AGGGCGCGCGGUGGAUGCCUAGGCUCUCGGAGGCGAUGAAGGACGCGAUAAGCCGCGAUAGGCCACGGCGAGGUGCAAGUAACCCUUGACCCGUGGAUUUCCGAAUGGGGCAACCCGGCCGUCUAGAUGACGGUCAUGCAUUAAUGCAGGCGAACGCGGGGAACUGAAACAUCUCAUUACCCGCAGGAGAAGAAAACAAAAUGUGAUUCCCCCAGUAGUGGCGAGCGAACGGGGAAGAGCCCAAACCGCUGCCGUUUCGGCGACAGCGGGGUCAUGGGACCGCGAUACUCGACGGAAGACGAAGUGCAAUUACCUGGAAAGGUAAGCCGUGGAGGGUGACAGCCCCGUGCACGACACCUCUUUCAAAGAUAGCGGUAUCCCGAGUAGGGCGGGACACGAGAAAUCCUGCCUGAAUUCGCCAGGACCUCCUGGCAAGGCUAAAUACUCCCGAGAGACCGAUAGUGAACCAGUACCGCGAGGGAAAGGUGAAAAGUACCCCGAGCAGGGGGGUGAAAUAGACCCUGAACCCGCGCGCCUACAAGCGGUCGGAGCCAUGAAAUAUGGUGACGGCGUGCCUUUUGCAUAAUGAGCCUACGAGUUAGUCGUCACCAGCGAGGUUAAGGGCUUCAGGCCCGUUAGCCGAAGUGAAAGCGAGCCUUAACAGGGCGUCGAGUUGGUGGCGCUAGACGCGAAACCUUGUGAUCUACCCACGAGCAGGUUGAAGUCGCGGUAACACGUGAUGGAGGACCGAACCGGUAAACGUUGAAAAGUUUUCGGAUGACUCGCGGGUAGGGGUGAAAGGCCAAUCAAACUGGGAAAUAGCUCGUACUCUCCGAAAUGCAUUUCGGUGCAGCCUGUGAUGUUCUGUUCCAGAGGUAGAGCUACUGGUUGGACGCGAGGGCUUCACCGCCUAUCAAAUCCGGAUAAACUCCGAAUGCUGGAACACGAAAUCAUGGAGUGAGCCCGCGGGUGCUAAGGUCCGCGGACGAGAGGGAAAGAACCCGGACCACCGGCUAAGGUCCCGGAUGGACAGUUAAGUUGAUCAAACGAGGUGGGAUCGCUGAGACAGCUAGGAUGUUGGCUUGGAAGCAGCCAUUCAUUUAAAGAGUGCGUAACAGCUCACUAGUCGAGCGAUCCCGCGUGGAUAAUACACGGGCAUCAAACUGUCAACCGAAGCCGUGGGGUUAGUUAAUGACUAACCGGUAGGAGAGCAUUCCUGCCAGCUUUGAAGGUCACCCGCGAGAGUGACUGGAGCGGCAUGAAAAGCAAAUGUAGGCAUAAGUAACGAUAAUGGGGGCGAGAACCCCCCACGCCGCAAGACCAAGGAUUCCCCGGCAAUGUCAAUCAGCCGGGGGUCAGCCGGCCUCUAAGGCUCACCCGAAAGGGGAUGCCGACGAGAAACGGGUUAACAUUCCCGUGCUUCUCGUCACCGUGACGCGGUGACGGGGUGAUGAAUGGACCGCGCGCUGACGGAAUAGCGCGUUGAAGGCCGUACCCGAUGAGGGUGGUAGUCAAGCACGCCACCCGAGGCGAGAGCCGAUAGUACCACGAGACUCCGGUCGAGUGGAUAGCGUCCAGGCAAUUUACCCCCUAGAAAACCCGCUAAACUUCAAGUGACGAGGAACCGUACUGUAAACGGACACACGUGGUCGGGUAGAACAUACCAAGGCGCUCGAGUGAUUCAUGGUCAAGGAACUAGGCAAAAUAGUCCUGUAACUUAGGGAUAAAGGACGCUCUAGUGAUAGAGCCGCAGAGUAAUGGCCCAGGCGACUGUUUACCAAAAACACAUGGCUAUGCCAAAUCGAAAGAUGACGUAUAUGGCCUGACACCUGCCCGGUGCCGGAAGGUUAAGAGGAGAGCUCAUCGGAAACGAGAAGGUUUGAAUUGAAGCCCCGGUAAACGGCGGCCGUAACUAUAACGGUCCUAAGGUAGCGAAAUUCCUUGUCGGGUAAGUUCCGACCUGCACGAAUGGUGUAACGAUCUGGGCACUGUCUCGACCAUGAGCUCGGUGAAAUUGUAGUUCCGGUGAAGAUGCCGGGUACCCGCGACGGGACGGAAAGACCCCGUGAACCUUUACUGCAGCUUCGCGUUGUUCCCGGGCACGGGACGUGUAGGAUAGGUCGGAGGCUAGGAGUCGGUUUCGCCAGGAAUCGAGGAGCCAUCGUUGAAAUACGACCCUUCUCUUGUCUGGGAUCUAACCCAUGGUAAUGGGGACACCGCGUGGUGGGUAGUUUGACUGGGGUGGUCGCCUCCAAAAGCGUAAC
rnacentral:rRNA from 1 species